rnacentral:rRNA from 1 species
UACGAGGGGGGCAAGUGUUGUUCGGAAUCACUGGGCGUAAAGGGAGCGUAGGCGGAUGUUUAAGUCGGGAGUUUAAAACCGGGGCCCAACCCCGGAGCGGCUCCCGAAACUGGGCAUCUUGAAUAGGUCAGAGGCUGGUGGAAUUGGAGGUGUAGCGGUGGAAUGCGUAGAUAUCUGGAGGAACACCGGUGGCGAAGGCGGCGUUCUGGACUGCUACUGACACUGAUGAACGAAAGCCAGGGGAGCAAACGGG